CCCUUAGAUGUUCUGGGCCGCACACGCGCUACACUGAAGGAGGCAGCGUGUACUCCUGGAUCGAAAGAUUUGGGUAACCCGCGAAUCUCCUUCGUGCUAGGGAUUGAGGUUUGCAAUUAUCCUUCAUGAACGAGGAAUUCCCAGUAAGUGCAAGUCAUAAGCUUGCGCUGACUACGUCCCUGCCCUUUGUACACACCGCCCGUCGCUACUACCGAUUGAAUGAUUUAGUGAGGACUUCGGACUGGGACCGAUGCGGCUUUCGGGCUGCGUCGGUAUUCUGGAAAGAUGUCCAAACUGUAUCAUAUAGAGGAAGUAAAAGUCGUAACA
rnacentral:rRNA from 1 species